rnacentral:rRNA from 1 species
AACGAACGCUGGCGGCGCGUCUUAAGCAUGCAAGUCGAACGGCAAGAUACCUUAGGGUAUCCUAGAGUGGCGGACUGGUGAGUAACGCGUGGAUGACGUACCCUCGUGACGGGGAUAGCCGGUAGAAAUACCGGGUAAUACCGGAUAAGGUCUCACGGAAUAAAGGCGUGAGAGGAAAGCAGCGUAUGCUGCGCAGGAGGAACGGUCUGCGGCCUAUCAGCUGGUUGGCAGGGUAAAGGCCUACCAAGGCGACGACGGGUAUCCGGCCUGAGAGGGUGAACGGACACAUUGGGACUGAGAUACGGCCCAGACUCCUACGGGAGGCAGCAGCUAAGAAUAUUCCGCAAUGGGGGGAACCCUGACGGAGCGACGCCGCGUGGACGAUGAAGGUCGGAAGAUUGUAAAGUCCUUUUAUACAUGAAGAAGAAGUUAUACAGGAAAUGGUAUGAUGGUGACGGUAGUGUAUAAUAAGC